ncrna:Schistosoma mansoni type-P1 twister ribozyme
GACCUAACUCCGCCUGUAGCUUCUCCGGGGCCUACUGCCGGUCCCAAGCCCGGGUAUAGGAGGAGGGUUGGGC